rnacentral:rRNA from 1 species
GACGAACGCUGGCGGCGUGCUUAACACAUGCAAGUCGAACGGAAAGGCCCUGCUUGCAGGGUACUCGAGUGGCGAACGGGUGAGUAACACGUGGGUGAUCUGCCCUGCACUUCGGGAUAAGCCUGGGAAACUGGGUCUAAUACCGGAUAGGAGCCAUUUUUAGUGUGAUGGUUGGAAAGUUUUUUCGGUGUAGGAUGAGCUCGCGGCCUAUCAGCUUGUUGGUGGGGUAAUGGCCUACCAAGGCGGCGACGGGUAGCCGGCCUGAGAGGGUGGACGGCCACAUUGGGACUGAGAUACGGCCCAGACUCCUACGGGAGGCAGCAGUGGGGAAUAUUGCACAAUGGGCGCAAGCCUGAUGCAGCGACGCCGCGUGGGGGAUGACGGCCUUCGGGUUGUAAACUCCUUUCGCUAGGGACGAAGCUUUUUGUGACGGUACCUAGAUAAGGAGCACCGGCUAACUAC